rnacentral:rRNA from 1 species
CCCUUAGAUGUUCUGGGCGGCCCGCGCACUACAAUUGCGCUUUCAGCGAGUUCCUAUGUUGAAUUUUCCUGGGUAUUCUUGGAAGCGGCGUCUUGACUUGGGAUAGAUCCUUGUAAUUGUUGGUUUUGAACGAGGAAUUCCUUGUAAUCGCGGUUGAUCAGCUCGCGUUGAAUACGUCCCUGCCCUUUGUACACACCGCCCGUCGCUCCUACCGAUGAAUCGUCCGGUGAAGUUCACAGAGUGGCGGUUCGUGGAGUUGCUCGCGAAGUGAAAUGGACCUCACGAUUUAGAGGAAGGAGAAGUCGUAACA